rnacentral:lncRNA from 13 species
UCAGCACUUUGGAGCCCUGGAUAUCCAGCUGCCAGCAGGUACAUUUCUUCUUCCAUAAGUUUUCUCUGGCUGCCAUGGGAUUCAUCACUCCCGGGACAACUCAGUCAAUUACAGAUGGCGAGACCCUCAGAAGUGCAUCUGCUACGCUGGCUCCUGGAUUUCUCCAGCAGGCAUCCUAUCAUCAACGGAAGUCAAUUUCAUCCGCCUGAUGGGAAAACACCAUAUCCUUCUUAAAUGGAAUUGCCCCCUCUGAAACCGAUGUUCCAUACAAGCAAAUGACCAACUGUGCUGGCGCUGUCACAGGAUUAAAAAUGACGAUCCUAUCUCAUGCUUCUACCACUGCUCAUCAUUUCUAAGCCAUCAACAUACAGAAACCACUUGAUCUGCUUCUGAUUCGAGUCUCUUCAGGAGUGGAAGCGUAAUGGCCAGGGACACCAAUAGCUCACAGCUCCUGCACGCCUGUGAGGGAGGGAACAUCCACCCCAGAGCCUGGGAUCAACUCUGCUCUGCAGAAAUCGCCCUAAGAUAUUAAAUGUCCACAAAAAGCAGAUUGGAGCCUUGCUUCUCAGUGUUCUUCCUCCAAAGGCCUCUUACUUCCAGCAGCUGGGGAUCAGCCCCAACUGCCUCUGAAGGAGGAAAGGCCGAGUUGAUUUAGUUUUUGUUCCAGCUGGAUGGAGGCUUUGCUCUGACUCCAACUCAGAAGGAUGGGGCGCAGCCUGGGUGGGAGCAAAAAGGUUCUCUUCAUAGCCCUGCUGCUGGCGUGGGCUGCUCUUUUCACUCUCUGGACCUGUCUCCCCAUCUGUGGAAUGGGGCAAGGAUGCUGACCACCAGAUAAAUCUUUGAGAUUUAAUUUCCACGUACAAGACUUUAAAAUCCAGAGCAAAAGGGAUAAUUUGAAUAUAAAGCACUGUUAGUAUUUUGGACCCACUUCUGCCAGUACUCUGUUGUUCCCUGCUCUAGAGUCUUCUCCAGGGUUUCGUUCAGAAGCUGCUGCUGCUGUCUCACAAUACCCACAUGGCUCAGCCUCCAGCUCCCAGUGUCUGAGAAGGUGACUGUCCAUAUAGCAUGGGGACAGCCCAGUUUGCUGCACUGAUAAUUUUGCUCAUUAAUACU